AGCAUAUAUUUCUUCAUGGAUGUUGGCUGUCUCUGCAGUCUUCUGACUCCAGCUGUCCCUUUGAAAAGAAUCCCCAGGACAAGAGAGAAGGUCUGGGUUGAUCUGUGUCAGAAGCAGGAACCUACUCAGGUGCAGGAACCUCAGGAUAUCUUGGGGACCUUGUGAAGAGGAAUUCCCCCAAAUCUACAGGAAUCUAGGACGCCAGCUGACACGCUUUCUUAUUCCUGUGAACCUGUGGGUGACCUCCAAUUUCUCUUCAAGCAACGAUGAAGAACUGGAGGAAAAUUCUGAUUAACCGUCAAAGGCCAUUUUUAUUGGGCUUCUUCUCACAGUGACAUUAACCACAUUUUGUUGUCUUUUCCCGUGUCUCUCUGCCUGGUGCCAAGAUUCCUUCGCCGCCAUAACUUCCAGCUGACAGAUGUUCCUUUCUACUGAAUGAGGUUCAUAUACAUGUU